AACAAGACUUUUACCAGCUAUAUGACAUAUACAACUUUUUAAAAAUCACUGGUCAGGACAGUUAAGCACAAAACCAUAUUUUGGGUCAAUUAUAAUAAUGUUGUGAUAGGCAACCUUUGAUCCUCCAGAUGUUUGGGACUAUAAUUUGUAAAGUCUUACCAUUUGCCAUACUGGCUGGAACAGAUGAAUGUUGCAGACCAAAACAUCUGGAAACCAAAACAUUCUCACCCCUAAUAUAAUACUACAUCAGGGCGCAGUAAGAUUUUAUGUACAAUUUACUUCCUAAAUCUAUCCAUGUUAACAUCUGCUUUGAAAUUAACCUCCAGCAAUAAUGCAAUGUGUCUCAUUCCACUGUUUCUCAAAAGAAGGGGGGGUCACAUCAACAACAAAAAACCACCUAAUCGAUGAAAAAUUGGUUUAACAACCUCCUUCAAGAAAUACUUCAGUAAACAUUAUUCAGUAAAAAAAAACUGAUAGGAAAAUAGUAUGGUCCUCAACAAGAAAUACUACUCACAGUAGGUGUUAUUUGUUUAUCCCUAGCAAGUAAUCUUCUGAAAAAUGACCACAAGAGUUGCUCCUUUCCCAGUUUUUCAAGAAGGAACAAAAAAUGAACAAAAAAGGGAGCAACCCAUUCCCCUACAUCCCUGAAGAAGACAAGCUACUCCCCAACAUCCCUGAAGAGAAAGCCUCAACUGAUACAGAGAUUGAUGCUUGUACUGUAUGCUGUAUUCUGUAUGGCCCUGGCUGUGAGGAACACUCUUCUGUCUAUUAGUAGUUGUGACCAAAGAGGACUCUGCUUCAUAAGAAGAUUCCAAGAGUUUAAUCUCUUCAAGCCUCUCAAGGAAGGACAGGCCAUCAACAGAGAAACACAGACAGGAACCCCUCCCUGUGCUAGGACAGCAGAGAAAUGGUAAAACUGAACACAACAAUGGAUGUGGCUAUUUGAAACAGGGACAAAGAAGAGACAUUGGAAUACCUUGCAUGGGCAAAAUGGAGGCAGCAAGGCUGAAGUUGGGAGGAUCAGAGGAUGAUUGCCUCAUCUCUAUCACAUGAGGAUGCUACAGCAAUAGGAGCCUGUUUCAUAGUUACAAUUUUUGGGAAGGAUCUCUAUUUUUUAUUUGGCUUAGAAAUGCUAUAUGGUGCUGGCAGCAGAAUAUAUUUUGGCAUGUUUUUGCAGCAAUUAUAAAAGUAUUUGGUUUCUGAGGAAGUGGAUUUUGUCCCAGAAAUAAAAUGGUUAGUCUUUAAAAUGCUACA
rnacentral:lncRNA from 1 species